rnacentral:rRNA from 1 species
AAGCUAGGGUAGCAAACGGGAUUAGAGACCCCGGUAGUCCUAGCCCUAAACGAUGUAGACUUGGCGUCGGUGGUUUAAUCGCCAUCGGUGUCGUAGCUAACGCGNUAAGUCUACCGCCUGGGGACUACGGCCGCAAGGUUAAAACUCAAAGGAAUUGACGGGUCCCCGCACAAGCAGCGGAGCGUGUGGUUUAAUUCGAUGCUACACGAAGAACCUUACCUGGGUUUGACAUAGAGGUAGUAGGGAAGCGAAAGCGGACCGACCCUUCGGGGAGCCUCUACAGGUGUUGCAUGGCUGUCGUCAGCUCGUGUCGUGAGAUGUUCGGUUAAGUCCGCUAACGAGCGCAACCCUCGCUGUGUGUUACAAGUGUCACACGGUACUGCCGAUAUUAAGUCA